CAUCUCGGCCUCCCAAAGUGCUGGGAUUACAGGCUUGAGCCACCGCGCCCGGCCAGCCCUGACAUUCUUAACUCCGCAACUUCCCUUGCACCACGAUGGCUGUUCCAUCUCCACACCUGUGUUCCAUCUAUGUCCCAGUCAGGAAGAAGGGCAAGGGAAAGAGGCAUGCACAACUGAGUUCGCCCAACACACCCACAUUCAAAGAGCUUUCCUGGAAGCCCCAGUCAGUCACUUCCCUUAUAUCUCAUCAGGAGGAACUGUUUCUUGGGGCCAUGUGAACAACUAUAGCUGCGAGGAGGCUGGGAAAUAAGAGUUUUACAGCUGGGCACAUUCCUGCUCAAACAAAAAUCAUGAUCCUGUUUGUGAGGAAGAGAAGAUAAAAAUCAGGUAUAGAACCUAAAGAUCAGUAAAUUGCCCAAGAUCACACUGUAGUGGAGGAAUCUGGAUUCGAACCCAAGACAACAGAGCUUCAAAACUCUUCACCACCACAGGGGGCGUAGCAGUAGUGUUUUCCCAGAAGCUUGUUGUACCUGAUCCCAAAGGCAAGUUGUGAGGCUGAAGAAGGAGGUUGCCACAGCUACUAACUGGACCCCUUUUCACGUAAUCAGAUCCUUGGUCUGCUCCAGUUUUGCAAGAGGAGCCACUUGUCUGGAAACUCUCCUCAACACCUGCCCCUGGAGGGAGCCGACUGUGCCUGAAUUAUUUAGAGUCUCUAGACACUUGAUAUAAUGAGCAGAUGAAGAAAUCAAGGUUCAGGUGCUCUCGGUGACAUAGCCAGUUGAAGGGAAAGUACAGACCAGACGCCAGACCUUUACACAGGAGGGAGAGAGUGACCUCAAAGGGGAGUCUGGACUAGUGACUUCUAAGGCCCCUUCCAGACCAAGGCUCUCUUUCUCUCUGCUGCUGUGCUGGUUUCACCCCCUGCAUUCACAGCCCUCCCAAGGUAAGAGAACUUCAGAAACCCAUGAAGUGCUUCUGCCCCAGGUACUUCACUGAGCUCUAGUUUUCUUUCUGUAACUUGCAAAUAGGGCUACAACUCUGACUCUGUGUUUCCAGAUUCUGUUUCAAUGCAGACAAUUAGAUGGUAAAUAAUUCAAGAUAACGGAAACUGGCAAAGUGGUGUGUGAUGUCCAAAUAGCUAUCUUCUUUACCCUCUGGUGUAAACUUCAGGCUCAUCUGCAACUCAGGAGCCCCAGGAGUAAGUGAAAUGUACAAACACAGGAAUCUCCCCUGUUUCCAUUCCCCUCAUUUUAAAAUAUUGUUUGGGGGUGGGAAUGCAGUUUAAUCAAAGAUUAAGGUAAGACAGUUUGGCUUUGGACGACAGAUUCAGACAACUUCUUAGGCAUGUCUGAAUUUCUUCCCAUGGUGGAGUAGAGUGAUCAGAAUCCAGAGGCAUCAGUUUCUCCUUGACCUGAGGAUUCAUGAUCCAAAGUUGUGGUCUCAGAAAUAUCACCAUUCAUCCUCUUUCUCUUCCUUCUGGGCAAUGAGGGAGACACAUUUCACUGGACCCUUCUAAACUGCCCCACCAUUAAAGAAGUAGUCUUAGUUAAGACCCAUUGAAUUACAGGUAACGUAAACCACCUCUGCCCUGCCUAAGAAGAAAAGGAUAAUGUAUUAUAUGGACAUAGGGGUGUCUUAUAAAGCCCAAGGGCAAAGAAAAUAGAGAUGGACCAGCCUCUUAAGAAAUUGGAGCUAGAGGCGUCAUGUUACAGGACUUCAAAAUAUAUUACAAGGCGAUAGUAACCAAAACAGCAUGGUAUUUGUAUA